CUACUGAAUUGAAGUGAGUUCUAUUUUUGAACGUGAAAAAACAACAAAAAAAGAUUUGACCAAAAAAUAAAGUAAAAUUCUACAUAUUUGAAAAGCAGUAGUAAGGAGCAAAACGUAACCUACUCCUAUCUCUAAUGCAUGCUAACCUUAACAUCAAUAUAGUACUAUAAUAAUAUAAUAAUAGUAAGUCCGAAAUAUUCAUAUGAACACAUCUGUAUUCUUAUAUACAAUAAUACAAAUGAUAAUAUCUGUAACAGCUGUUCCUUGGAUUUUGAUGAGAAAGGGAAAAAAAGAGGAUUGGGACACCAAGGCGUUCUCUUCUGGGAAGAUUUUGGAGUUGGGGUCUGGAAGUACCAAGUGAGUCAUCUACACAAAACACGAAAUGAGAGAACAUCUUUCUUAAAAGUUCUAUUUAUGACACAGGCUCAUUAUAAAUUACAUCAGGCUAUGGCCAAGCACCUAUGCUCAAGUUUGUGGCUGUUUAUUUACUUAACUCCAGAUGGGGGAAGCCUUUAACUGGCCACUAAUUAGGGUAGGGUGUCCAAUAGAGAGAGAGAGAGAGAGUUGAGGAAACAUAUCGAAGAAAAACUUAUUUUAUUUAUUUUUGAUUAUUUUUAAAUCUAUGAGGUGGCCUUAAUGGGGUUGAUGCACAGCAAGUGCACUUGCAAAGAAAAAAAAAAAAAAACACACAUUUGGAUCAUUCCUGCAAGUGACUUAUAUUUUUUUAUUUUAAUUAAAAAUGUAAUUUAAUUUCCUGAACAGGGUAAUAUAUUUAACAUAAUUUCUAGUUUUUUUCUUGUUGUUGCUGGGUUUUUUUCCUGAUAUUUUGGUCGGCGUGUGUUGACUUUCUCCACACUUUAUAUUUAAUACAUGUCUUACGAAGGGGGUGGUUAAUGUCAUGUAUGAAUUGGGGGGUAGAACUGAGGGAGAGCAGAAAGUCGAGAGGAAGUGAUGUUGAUGGCUGGUUUGGCCUCCAGGAAGUCGCAUCAAAGGAGCGUUUGUUGCCGAGACCAGCUGUGUGUGCGCGUGUGUGUUUGGGAGGGUUGCAUCAGUGGUGACAGAUGAACCAGCUUCCUGUGGAAUGAAUGUAGGGCAUUCAUCACAGUGCAGCUGUUUCUUUCUGUCUUUGUGUGGCACCACCAUUUGCAUACCACCUUUAAUGCUGGGACUUUUUUUUUUUUUUUUUUUCUGCAAGCACAUUUUCAAUCAUUUAAGCAAACCUUUAUUUAUACAGCACACAUAGUAUAACACUUCAAAUAUCUAUUGCUUCUAAAACUGUGACUGUUGAUGCUAACUGUCAAUGGCAUUUUGUAUUUUCUGUUAGCAUACUUUAUCAAAAGGCAGCAAGGCUAUGCUGUUUUAAAUACACAAUGUGUAAUUCGAGUUUUAUGCUUCGUUUGACAGUUAACGUUCACUGGGAGUGGCAUCAAACAGCUUGAAGCCUCAUUUUUGGGAGAAUAUUUGCCAAAUUGCGGCUUACUGUGAAGUGCGUUGAAUUGAGUCAUCUGCCACCAUACUCUUGCUCAUAUCUGAAGUUUGUGCUCACAAGUCAAAGCAAAACAAUCGUCAGAACAAUGGCUUUAUCUCCAAAAACUUCCAGGUCGGGUCACUUGUAUCUCAAGGCACCACUGCAUACUGUAAAAACGCAUCAAAACUAUCGCUACAGUAUAAACCACAGGUUUCCGUGACAGACAGAUUUAUAUGUUCCCCAAAAAAAUAUCCGUAAUAUAUACAAACAAUUAACAACAAUAUAGCCUUUUGUUUUCUUUCCAACACGUGUUUUAUAUUUAAUACAGAGGAGUUAUUGUUUCAUCUGACAUACAGUGCUGUUUUUGUACGUAUUUGUCAUUCAAACAGCCAUCUUCCAUCGGUCUGUGAGGUAGUUAUGGUUGAGCCCCUUGAAUUCUGCCUAGCAACAAGUGAUCUGGCAAACACACUCCAUCUGGGAGAGAGUUAUGCACUUUUUUGUGUGUUUUUUUCCCUUUUCUCUUUCUUCUUUUGCUGUCGCACCCAACCCCCAUCCGACCGCCACCCUGCCCAGCCCACCUACACGCCCACCCAUCCCCAUCCCCUCGCUGAUGCAAAACAUUAGCCGUCGAGUUGAAGCCGGCGGCCCCGUCAAUUGGAACUCAGCAAUGGCGUUAGCCGAGUGAGGGGAGAUUGUGCAGUAAUUAAGAGCAGCAGCUGCCUUGUCAGUGGGUAACGUCACUGCUGCACUUGGCUGAUGAGCUCCCACUCGGGCGAGAACGACAAGAAGCGACAAGGGACUGGUGAGGUUGUAUCUACCACUGAAAGUGGUGGAAAGGGCAUGAGCGAACCGGCAGAGGGAUUGAGAGGCCUCCCCGCAGUGGAUGAGCAGCUGGUCUGCAGGCUGGUAUGGUCCGACUCCAUCUGCAGGUUACCCGCCACACCUGAAGAGUGCAAUACACAAUACACGCUUCCUUUUCUCGGGCUAUUUCAUUAAAUAUGGCUUUUGUCACUUGAUCAGAAACCAGUGGAGGGCCGUGCAUAUGGUACCCAUGACGAUGGCACCUCUCGCAAACAAAACCUUACAGACAGAGCGAUUGCAAAAAAAAGGGUGAAUGGUUUGUAUGAUGAUUCUUCUUCUCUACUGCCGUAGUUUGCAUGUGUGAAGCGUCAGUCGAAAAGAUUUGACAUGAUUUAAACUGCUUGGAAAGUAGACGGCACGCCAGCUGUAAUGAACAUUUCAAAACGAUUAAACAAUAGACAUGGUAGAAAUUCAAGACAUACAGACUAAUUGACUUUUGUAUUUUUUUUAAUUAAUGGCACAGAUGCUCUUUUUGACAGUGAAAUGGAAGGAGCACUGAAGAGCUGCCGUUAGCUAGCAGGCUAACCAUUUUGUUUUGCUAAAUGACUCAAAGACAACCCAACUAAGCAUUUUAUACAUACCUGCUGCUGUGAGAAAAUUCCUUCCACAAACUCGAUGAUGUAGGUACGGUUCCCAGUCUGUCCCUGGAUAGGUUUGCGAUCGUCUCUGUGCAACUAUUUACAUCCACUCAAUUGAAUCUCCACAGGUUCCGCUGUUAGAUUUUGUGAAAUUGAAUUGAAAAAACAAAAAUGAAACUCAACCUUUUGGGGUAUAUCUGGCGGCCCAGCUCCAAACACAAGCUGCUGUCGUUAUUUCAGUUCAGGUCAGCGGGAGCUUCUCGUUUCUCUCCCACCUGGAAGUACCCUGGUGCUUCCUCUUCCCAAACAUUACGAAAUGGUCGAUACCACCACUAUUAGAUCGCAAGUAUAGAAAACAAUACUAUACAAAAACGCAAUUAAAUGCCACGUACAUCAUCUGGGGCAUUUCUGAAUCAACAUUAAGGUAAAUAACUUCAUACACACACACACACACACACACAUUAUAACCGAUUAUUAAAUGUAAUGUGUACAGAUCGUUACAGGCGUUUAGGUAGUCCAACUUGACUUGCUCGGACCAACCAAUCAGAGAAUGGGAAAAUGCUGAUGUCAAGAGCCAGCGAUCUGGCCCUGUGAGGAUGAAUUUGAAAUCUGAUUGGUUAAGGCCUUGGGCAGAUUAGAUUGACAUGGCAGCUCAUAGAGGCACACUGGAAGCAGAACAUCCAAGCUCCGAAAUGAACAGAACAGACUGUUGGUAAUGAAUUAUUGCAAUUACAUGGAAGAAAUUCAGGUUGUAAAUGCAGGUCAGUGCUUCUGAUAUUGCUCAGGCUAGCAGUGAAGGCCUUCCUGGCCCUGACUCCUCACCAUUGUCAGAACCAGCCUUCAACCUUGAUGCAUCCCGAAGAGGGACGUAGGGGGACACUAAAAAAGGCCCCACUGUAUUUAUGUCGCCUUCUCCAUUUCCAUACUGUGAUGAUUCAAACUGAACUUUACGGCAUGAUGGAAUCGUGGCAAUGGAGAAACAAUGUCUUCUGUACCAUUUUGGGGAAAUAUGAGCCCUCAAAAUGCAGCUCUGUGCCACAUAUUUUCUCAUACAUAAUAAAAACAAGUCGACUUUUGA